GAAGCUGCCUUCGCUUGUUUACAUUCUCCGAAGCGUCUAGCUAACUAGCUAAAACGCUAGCAGAUUUUACAAAAUGAUGGGUGACAGUUGAUUAGGUUUGUGUAUUUAUAACAGUUUUCAGCUGUAUUUUCUCUCUGUCGUUCGGGCCAUGGCUUCAGCUCGCUGCUGGUGCCGUCUCUGGGUAACGUUACCCCUGCUCCUGCUGCGGUGGCCGGGGCUGCUGGUCGCGGCGGAGCAGGUCGCUCUGGUGGAGGUUUUCCUGGACCAGCGGCCCGGUGUCAGCGCUCUGCUACAGGGGGAGGUGGUCGAGUCCAGCAGGGUCAGCAGGAGCUUGGAGCACCGGGAAGAGGACCGAGAAGAGCUGGAGGGAGAGCUGGUCCUGGUUCAGGAUGAGGAGACGCAGGUGAGCGGAGGAAAAGGCGAGGACGACACCAAAGAGCAGGAGCCGUGGAUCGGGGUGGUGCCUGUGGAGAUGGACGACAGCAAAGCCUCCACCGGAAACCAAGAGUCCUUUGCUGAUGCAAUGGUCAAUAAAAUGAAGCGAGCCUUGGUCCUCGGAGCGUCUGCACUGAUCAUCCUGGCUCUCAACCAAAACACCGUCAGUGAGAUGGAUCUGUCUCAGGUGCUGUCCAAGCCCAUCAUUGUGAUCCAGACGUCUGAAAAUGUCACCAAGCUGAUCGGAGCUCUGCUCAGGGGUCUUCAAGCGACAGCAAAAAUCACAUACAAGACGAUCCUGCAGGACAACCUGGGAGCCACGCUCACGCUGUGGUCCAGCUGCGGUCGGUCGAGAGGAGGGCGCUACGGAGAGUGGCAGGGGGUCAUCUGCACGGGAGAGACGAACUCUCAGGUCCAGAAGUACCUGCAGCAGCUGUGGGACACUGUCCUCCUGGUGGCUCUGAUUCUCAGCACCGGCGUCAUCGUUCAGGCUCGCUGGCAGUACCAGGGCCACCAGCUGAACGACGACUUAGAGCUCCUUCCUAAACAGGACGUCCUGAAGAGAAUGUCGUCUCUGAAGACCAAAAGGUAUCGUCAGCCCAAACCGUGGUGUGACCCAUCCGAGCCGGUAGAGACGGACAACUGUGCGGUCUGUCUGGAGCCGUUCAACAACAACCAGUGUCUGCGGGUGCUGCCGUGUCUUCAUGAGUACCACAGAGAUUGCGUUGACCCCUGGCUGCUGCUGCAGCACACCUGUCCUCUGUGCAAACGCAGCAUCCUCAGUGAGUUCACGUCACAACAUCACGCAGUUCCACAGCAAUUAACACCAGGCUGUGUUUCAAGCGUGUUUCAACUCUGACCACACCCAACGUCACUGAUGGGUGUGGUCAGAAUUAUGCUCUUUUGCACCUGUAACCACACCCACUAACGAUGUCACAGCGUCCUGGAGUACACAUGUACAUCACUGCAACAAGGCGAGACAUUAAACCACUGGAGCCUCUUCAGGCAGCGUCUGCAAAGACAGUUAACAGUCACUGCACCUCCACCGCUGCAGCAGCAGCUCUGGGAAUCAAGUCUCGUCUUUUCCUCGGUGACACUCCAGUAGCUGUUUGUUUGUUUUUUUGUGUUUUUGUUUUUUACUGAUCUCACGCCUCCUCCUUCCAGCAAUGGAUUGUGGGAGCAAAUACAAGCUUCUCACAGCAGCUGGCUGGCCGUCUGGACUGUGGAGCAGUCUGAUUUUGACGUCUGACCUUCGGGUGGGUGCAGCAGUUCUCACAGACAUAUAGUGGUAGUAUAAACACAAUACUAUGAAGUACUGUACCAGUACUGUUGUGUGUGUGUGUGUGUGUGUGUGUGUGAACAGUACUUCUUCCUGGGACCAUGUUACUUUACAAUUAUGGAAGUAUUUGUUUGUAUGUGUGAUCUACAUGAAGAUGUGACUCAUGAGGGUGUUUGUGCUGAAUGUGACUUUUCACACAAACACCUUCUGCUCUGUGUUUCUGCAAACAGCUGAGCAACAAUACAUUUGGCUUUGAAUCGGUAAACACCGAUAACCUGAGCGAAUAUUCGCAAGUCGGUUGUUUCUGCAUGGACAUUCAAUGCUUUAUGGUUUUAAGCAUGGACAUAUUGAUCAACUGGCCAGUGUUCACUUUAGGUCCAAAUGAUGUCAAUAACCAACUUAUGAAGUGGACUAACAGAGUUUAAACGUGACUGAUUUCAUCUAGUGUCCAAACUCAUGCUUUGCUAUUAAAUGUUAGUCGUAGAGGUUCUGUAGUUGUAGUCCAGAAGUAACUGUGCUACAGUUGGUAGCAGAUGUGGAAAAAGUGUUAGCACUUGUCCUUAACAUGCCUUAUGACUAAACUGCAGAGUGAAAGAAACCCAAACCAUAAACACACCUCCCGAAUUAUACUUUUUAUGUAAGUUACAGUAGCUAAUUUAGUUGCAGUUGCACCUUUUUAAACAACGAGGCCACAGUUAAGUUGGAUUUUCACCCAUCUUUGAUCAUUUUUAUCAGCUCCCUUCCUCUUGGAAGGUCUGUGUGAAGAAGUCAAAAACCGUUCUGUCCCAACAGAAGCUCAUCUCAUACAUCAUGUGAAAAACAUGAUGUGUCCUCUUACUUCUCUGACGUAUGGCUGCACAGGUAAAUCCUAAUGAUUGCAAUUACAAUUUUGUACUUAACAUAAUUGUUACUGCAUCAGAUCCAAGAUAUUGUGUUUAAGAAAAGCAUCUGCCUAAUUUCAGUGCUCAGGUUCCGUUUAAAGGUAGUUCAACAUUUUGGGAAGUACACUUAAUCAUUCUCUUGCAGAGUUAGCUGAGACCACUCAUGUCUGUAUGGUAAAUAUGAAGCUACAGCUAGCAGCCAAUUUGUGUAGCUUAGCAUAAAGAUCGGAAAAGCUCACUAAUUAACACGUUAUAUGUCGUUUGUUUAAUCCGUACAAAAACAUGUAAAAAUGACAAGUGGUUUUACGGGUGAUAUUUGCUGGACUAUUCUUGGUCAGGACCAGUAACUUCCUGGAGUCCCUGCUUGUUGGCAACCUGGAAGUUACUGCUCCUGGCCAUCAGAUAGUUCAGCACAUAUCCCCCCAUAAAACCACAAUUUACCAUUUUUACACUUUGGAUUAAACUAAUGAGAUAUAAUACGUUAAUUAGUGAGCUUUAGAGGUGCUGGUAGGCAGAUUUUGUUACUUUUGGACAUAGCCAGGCUAGCUGUUUCUACCUGCUUUCAGUCUUUAUGCUAAGCUAACCAGCUGCUAGCUGUAGCCUUAUACUUAAUGUACAGACAUGAGAGUGGUAUCAGUCCUUUCACUUAACUCUCUGCAAAUUAGCAUAUUUCUCAAAAUGUAAACUAUUCCUUUGAAGAUUUGCAAGUUAUUCCCAAACUGUAUUUUUACAUACAGUAAAAAUCUACAUUAGUGUGAAAUUGGAGGCCAUUUUUGUGUCAAAUGUUGUAGCACAGUAAAACAGUUUACUUACCAAAGGUGGGUGAAGAUACAUAAUUGUCAUCUCAACACUGAGGAAAAUAAUUGUGAUCAUACUUUCUGCCUUAACUGUGCAGCCGUACUCUGAAUCAUCUCCAAUGCAUUCUACUGUGAAAGGAAAAAGUCAAAUCUAGCUAAUUGAUUUUGGGAUUUUGUCAGUGAUGACUCUGUCAAAAACAGUGUUAUUGUAUUUAUUUUGUUUUUUGAAAUGUCAACUCCAAAAAGCAAUUACAUGUGCUUUUUUGUUACAAAAUGCUCUGAUAGAUAUGUUCUCUUCAUAGAAAAUAGCGUGUGCAUGGCAACAUGUAGAAGGUUUCCCCACAGCUAGUCUGAGAGACUCGAGGCCCCUCUGUACAGCACGUGCUUCCAAACACAAACACAACAGCAUCAUUAUGAGAUGGUCAUAGAGUCGAUUUCUUUUUCUAGACUUUUUUUGUUAUGUUUUUACGGAAGCUGGACAACAGUGGUGUGAACUGGGUGGAUGACAUCACACGCAUGCACUUGAGCGUUACAUGCAAGCAGCCUUUACACAAGCUACUCAUACAGGAUGAGUAGUAAGAGCAACACAGUCUGCCGCUGAUGUCCAGGCUUGAUCACCGGGUCAGUAAUUGUUCUUCCAGCUACAGAAGGAACCGCAGUCUCUCCAAAACCCUGGACGUUGCUUCCUUUUAUUCCUAUUUUGUCCAUUUGAUGAUAAUGAUGUCAAAGAUCGAUUACUCUGGAUCUUAAUAAUAAAUUGAUUUGUUACUUGGCAAAAA